UCCGCAGGCGGGCGAGCAAGUCGGUGGUGAAAGUCUUCGGCUCAACCGAAGAAUUGCCUUCGAUACUGCUCGUCUUGAGUUCGAGAGAGGAUAAUGGAAUUCAUGGUGUAGCGGUGAAAUGCGUAGAGAUCAUGAAGAACACCAGUAGCGAAGGCGGUUAUCUGGCUCGAUACUGACGCUCAGGGACGAAAGCGUGGGGAGCAAACA
rnacentral:rRNA from 1 species